GAUGAACGCUGGCGGCGUGCCUAAUACAUGCAAGUCGAGCGAAUGGAUUAAGAGCUUGCUCUUAUGAAGUUAGCGGCGGACGGGUGAGUAACACGUGGGCAACCUGCCCAUAAGACUGGGAUAACUCCGGGAAACCGGGGCUAAUACCGGAUAACAUUUUGAACCGCAUGGUUCGAAAUUGAAAGGCGGCUCCGGCUGUCACUUAUGGAUGGACCCGCGUCGCAUUAGCUAGUUGGUGAGGUAACGGCUCACCAAGGCAACGAUGCGUAGCCGACCGGAGAGGGUGAUCGGCCACACUGGGACUGAGACACGGCCCAGACUCCUACGGGAGGCAGCAGUAGGGAAUCUUCCGCAAUGGACGAAAGUCUGACGGCGCAACGCCGCGUGAGUGAUGAAGGCUUUCGGGUCGUAAAACUCUGUUGUUAGGGAAGAACAAGUGCUAGUUGAAUAAGCUGACACCUUGACGGUACCUAACCAGAAAGCCACGGCUAACUACGUGCCAGCCGCCGCCGUAA
rnacentral:rRNA from 1 species